UACAGAGGUCCCAAGCGUUGUUCGGAUUCAUUGGGCGUAAAGGGUGCGUAGGUGGCGGGGCAAGUCUGGUGUGAAAUCCCGGGGCUCAACCCCGGAACUGCACUGGAUACUGCUUUGCUAGAGUACUGGAGAGGGAACUGGAAUUUACGGUGUAGCAGUGAAAUGCGUAGAUAUCGUAAGGAAGACCAGUGGCGAAGGCGGCUUGCUGGCUCGCAACUGACGCUGAGGCGCGAAAGCGUGGGGAGCAAACAGG
rnacentral:rRNA from 1 species